AACUAUAACGGUCCUAAGGUAGCGAAAUUCCUUGUCGGGUAAGUUCCGACCUGCACGAAUGGCGUAACGACUUCCCCGCUGUCUCCAACGCAGACUCAGUGAAAUUGAAUUCCCCGUGAAGAUGCGGGGUACCUGCGGUUAGACGGAAAGACCCCGUGCACCUUUACUAUAGCUUUACAUUGGCGUUUGUGUUGAUAUGUGUAGGAUAGGUGGUAGGCAUUGAAGCAGGAGCGCUAGUUUUUGUGGAGCCAACCUUGAAAUACCACCCUUAUCAAUGUGUAUGUCUAACUGCGUUCCGUUAUCCGGAAUCGGGACAGUGUAUGG
rnacentral:rRNA from 1 species